rnacentral:rRNA from 1 species
UGCUAUACAUGCAAGUCGAGCGGACGUUUUUGAAGCUUGCUUCAAAAACGUUAGCGGCGGACGGGUGAGUAACACGUGGGCAACCUACCUUAUCGACUGGGAUAACUCCGGGAAACCGGGGCUAAUACCGGAUAACAUCUAGCACCUCCUGGUGCCGGAUUAAAAGAGGGCUUCUUGCUCUCACGAUGAGAUGGGCCCGCGGCGCAUUAGCUAGUUGGAGAGGUAACGGCUCCCCAAGGCGACGAUGCGUAGCCGACCUGAGAGGGUGAUCGGCCACACUGGGACUGAGACACGGCCCAGACUCCUACGGGAGGCAGCAGUAGGGAAUCUUCCGCAAUGGACGAAAGUCUGACGGAGCAACGCCGCGUGAGUGAUGAAGGGUUUCGGCUCGUAAAGCUCUGUUAUGAGGGAAGAACACGUACCGUUCGAAUAGGGCGGUACCUUGACGGUACCUCAUCAGAAAGCCACGGCUAACUACGUGCCAGCAGCCGCGGUAAUACGUAGGUGGCAAGCGUUGUCCGGAAUUAUUGGGCGUAAAGCGCGCGCAGGCGGCCUUUUAAGUCUGAUGUGAAAUCUUGCGGCUCAACCGCAAGCGGCCAUUGGAAACUGGGAGGCUUGAGUACAGAAGAGGAGAGUGGAAUUCCACGUGUAGCGGUGAAAUGCGUAGAUAUGUGGAGGAACACCAGUGGCGAAGGCGACUCUCUGGUCUGUAACUGACGCUGAGGCGCGAAAGCGUGGGGAG